rnacentral:rRNA from 1 species
GUGGGGAAUAUUGGACAAUGGGGGGAACCCUGAUCCAGCCAUGCCGCGUGUGUGAAGAAGGCCUUUUGGUUGUAAAGCACUUUAAGCGAGGAGGAGGCUACCGAGAUUAAUACUCUUGGAUAGUGGACGUUACUCGCAGAAUAAGCACCGGCUAACUCUGUGCCAGCAGCCGCGGUAAUACAGAGGGUGCAAGCGUUAAUCGGAUUUACUGGGCGUAAAGCGCGCGUAGGUGGCCAAUUAAGUCAAAUGUGAAAUCCCCGAGCUUAACUUGGGAAUUGCAUUCGAUACUGGUUGGCUUGAGUAUGGGAGAGGAUGGUAGAAUUCCAGGUGUAGCGGUGAAAUGCGUAGAGAUCUGGAGGAAUACCGAUGGCGAAGGCAGCCAUCUGGCCUAAUACUGACACUGAGGUGCGAAAGCAUGGGGAGCAAACAGGAUUAGAUACCCCGGUAGUCC